GGGGUUUGACAUGUCGAUGACGCAGGCAGAGAUGUCUGUUUCUUUCGGGACGUCGACACAGGUGCUGCAUGGCUGUCGUCAGCUCGUGUCGUGAGAUGUUGGGUUAAGUCCCGCAACGAGCGCAACCCUUGUCUCUAGUUACCAGCGAGUAAUGUCGGGGACUCUAGAGAGACUGCCGGUGUUAAACCGGAGGAAGGUGGGGAUGACGUCAAGUCCUCAUGGCCCUUAUGCCCAGGGAUGCACACGUGCUACAAUGCCCGGUACAAAGCGACGCGAGACCGCGAGGUGGAGCAAAUCGCAAAAAAGCGGGCUAAGUUCGGAUCGCAGUCUGCAACUCGACUGCGUGAAGUUGGAAUCGCUAGUAAUCGCGUAUCAGCUAUGACGCGGUGAAUAUGUUCCUGAGCCU
rnacentral:rRNA from 1 species